rnacentral:lncRNA from 1 species
AACAACAACGGAGAGGAAUACCAAGAAGGAGCAAAGAGUGACACUGGAGAUUCUCUUGGCACUGCUAGGAAGAAAGGUGAAAGGAAAUGUGUAUUCAACCAAGGUGAACUGGAUGCUUUGGAAUACCAUUCAAAUAUGAAAAGGAUGUCAAGCACCCCCAGAAUAUUGUUAAUGAAAACAGACUCCCACUUUCUGUGUAUGAAUUUCUAG